rnacentral:rRNA from 1 species
AACGCUGGCGGCGUGCCUAACACAUGCAAGUCGAACGAGAAAGUUGGCUUCGGCCGAUGAGUAAAGUGGCGCACGGGUGAGUAACGCGUGGAUAAUCCGCCCUUUAGUUUGGAAUAACGUACCGAAAGGUGCGCUAAUACCGGAUAAUACUGAAUGACUACUGUCGUUUAGUCAAAGAAGGCUUCUGUUUACAUGCUUUUGCUGAAGGAUGAGUCCGCGUACCAUUAGCUAGUUGGUAGGGUAAUGGCCUACCAAGGCGACGAUGGUUAGCUGGUCUGAGAGGAUGAUCAGCCACACUGGAACUGAGACACGGUCCAGACUCCUACGGGAGGCAGCAGUGAGGAAUAUUGCGCAAUGGGGGCAACCCUGACGCAGCAACGCCGCGUGAGUGAGGAAGGUUUUCGGACCGUAAAGCUCUGUCGAGCGGGAAGAAAUGCAUGGUGGCUAAUAUCCAUCAUGCUUGACGGUACCGCUAAAGGAAGCACCGGCUAACUCCGUG